ensembl:lncRNA
AUGAAAGGUAUGGCUCUCACUGGGGCUUUCUGUGCCCUGUCCUGGCUGGGGGCACAGCCGUUCCCGUUGCCCGCUGUUCCCCCGUUCCCGUGGUUCCCGUUGUUCCCAUUCCCGCUGUUCCCCCUGUUCCCGUGGUUCCCGUUGCCCGCUGUCGCCCCUGUUGCCCCCUGUUGCCCCUGUUCCCCGCUGUUGCCCCCUGUUCCCCGCUGUUGCCCCUGUUCCCCCUGUUCCCCGCUGUUGCCCCUGUUCCCCGCUGUUGCCCCCUGUUCCCCCUGUUGCCCGCUGUUGCCCCUGUUCCCCCUGUUGCCCGCUGUUCCCCCUGUUGCCCGCUGUUGCCCCUGUUGCCCGCUGUUGCCCCCUGUUCCCCGCUGUUGCCCCUGUUCCCCGCUGUUGCCCCUGUUCCCCGCUGUUGCCCCCUGUUGCCCGCUGUUGCCCCUGUUCCCCCUGUUCCCCGCUGUUGCCCCUGUUCCCCGCUGUUGCCCCUGUUCCCCGCUGUUGCCCCUGUUCCCCGCUGUUGCCCCUGUUCCCCCUGUUGCCCCCUGUUCCCCGCUGUUGCCCCUGUUCCCCGCUGUUGCCCCUGUUGCCCCCUGUUCCCCGCUGUUGCCCCCUGUUGCCCCUGUUCCCCCCUGUUGCCCCUGUUCCCCGCUGUUGCCCCCUGUUCCCCGCUGUUGCCCCCUGUUGCCCCUUGUUCCCCGCUGUUGCCCCCUGUUCCCCGCUGUUGCCCCCUGUUGCCCCUGUUCCCCGCUGUUGCCCCCUGUUCCCCGCUGUUGCCCCUGUUCCCCGCUGUUGCCCCCUGUUCCCCGCUGUUGCCCCCUGUUCCCCCUGUUCCCCGCUGUUGCCCCCUGCUGCCCCUGUUCCCCGCUGUUGCCCCCUGUUCCCCGCUGUUGCCCCCUGUUCCCCGCUGUUGCCGCUGUUCCCCCUGUUCCCGCACCUUCCCGCCGCUCGGGGCUGAGCGAACUCCCAUCCCGGGGGCGCGGCCUCUGGGCGGUGGGCGGUGCCGGGAUCACGUGGUGCGCCGGCCCCGCCCCCUGCCUGUCCGCCAUGUUUGUUCCUUCCGCAGCGCCUGGCGGCGGUGGCGCAGCCCGGGACCCGGACCGGCGGCAGGAGCGGCCAUACCCCCUUCCCGCGGGCAGGGAUCGGCCUCUUCAGCGCGCCCGGGAGCGGCGGCAGUCCCCUUCCCGCGGUCUGGAGCCGAGUCAGAUUUUUGGAAACUUGCAGAUCUGCUAUAGACAACAAGUUUAACCACUGUAGUGAUUGAGGGCUGAGAAAUGUAAAAACUCCACAAACA